rnacentral:rRNA from 1 species
UACGGGGGGGGGCAAGCGUUGUUCGGAAUUACUGGGCGUAAAGGGCUCGUAGGCGGCCAACUAAGUCGGAUGUGAAAUCCCCAGGCUUAACCUGGGAACUGCAUCCGAUACUGGAUGGCUUGAAUCCGGGAGAGGGAUGCAGAAUUCCAGGUGUAGCGGUGAAAUGCGUAGAUAUCUGGAGGAAUACCGGUGGCGAAGGCGGCAUCCUGGACCGGCAUUGACGCUGAUGAGCGAAAGCCAGGGGAGCAAACGGG